rnacentral:rRNA from 1 species
CAGCCGCCGCGGUAAUACGUAGGGUGCAAGCGUUAAUCGGAAUUACUGGGCGUAAAGCGUGCGCAGGCGGUUUGUUAAGACAGAUGUGAAAUCCCCGGGCUUAACCUGGGAACUGCAUUUGUGACUGGCAAGCUAGAGUGUGGCAGAGGGGGGUGGAAUUCCGCGUGUAGCAGUGAAAUGCGUAGAUAUGCGGAGGAACACCGAUGGCGAAGGCAGCCCCCUGGGCCAACACUGACGCUCAUGCACGAAAGCGUGGGGAGCAAACAGGAUUAGAUACCCCAGUAGUCCCUGUCUCUUAUAC